rnacentral:tRNA from 1 species
GGUCCUUUAGCUCAGUUGGUAGAGCAGCAGACUCUUAAUCUGUGGGCCCAGGGUUCGAGCCCCUGAAGGACCACCA